UACGGGGGGGGCAAGCGUUGUUCGGAAUUACUGGGCGUAAAGGGCUCGUAGGCGGCCAACUAAGUCGGAUGUGAAAUCCCCAGGCUCAACCUGGGAACUGCAUCCGAUACUGGAUGGCUUGAAUUCGGGAGAGGGAUGCAGAAUUCCAGGUGUAGCGGUGAAAUUCGUAGAUAUCAGGAGGAACACCGGUGGCGAAGGCGGGUCUCUGGGCAACAACUGACGCUGAGGAGCGAAAGCGUGGGGAGCGAACAGG
rnacentral:rRNA from 1 species